UCCGGUUUGACACCGGCAGUCUCCCAUGAGUCCCCGACACGACUCGCUGGCAACAUGGGACAAGGGUUGCGCUCGUUGCGGGACUUAACCCAACACCUCACGGCACGAGCUGACGACAACCAUGCACCACCUGUAUACGCCCCCGAAGGACACCACAUCUCUGCGGCUUUUGCGUAUAUUUCAAGCCCUGGUAAGGUUCUUCGCGUUGCGUCGAAUUAAGCCACAUGCUCCGCCGCUUGUGCGGGCCCCCGUCAAUUCCUUUGAGUUUCAACCUUGCGGUCGUACUUCCCAGGUGGGAUACUUAAUGCUUUCGCUCAGACACACACUGUGUAUCGCGUAUGUCGAGUAUCCAUAGUUUAGGGCGUGGACUAC
rnacentral:misc_RNA from 1 species